rnacentral:rRNA from 1 species
UACGUAGGUGGCAAGCGUUGUCCGGAUUUACUGGGCGUAAAGAGCGUGUAGGCGGCCAGGUAGGUCUGCUGUGAAAACUCGAGGCUCAACCUCGAGACGUCGGCGGAAACCAUCUGGCUAGAGUCCGGAAGAGGAGAGUGGAAUUCCUGGUGUAGCGGUGAAAUGCGUAGAGAUGUGGAGGAACACCGAUGGCGAAGGCAGCCCCCUGGGUCAAGAUUGACGCUCAUGCACGAAAGCGUGGGGAGCAAACAGG